rnacentral:rRNA from 1 species
AUUGAACGCUGGCGGCAGGCUUAACACAUGCAAGUCGAACGAGUGGCGGACGGGUGAGUAAUGCUUGGGAAACUGCCUGAUGGAGGGGGAUAACUACUGGAAACUGUAGCUAAUACCGCAUACCAUCAGAUGUGCCCAGGUGGGAUUAGCUAGUUGGUGGGGUAACGGCUCACCAAGCCGACGAUCCCUAGCUGGUCUGAGAGGAUGACCAGCCACACUGGAACUGAGACACGGUCCAGACUCCUACGGGAGGCAGCAGUGGGGAAUAUUGCGCAAUGGGGGCAAGCCUGAUGCAGCCAUGCCGCGUGUAUGAAGAAGGCCUUCGGGUUGUAAAGUACUUUCAGCAGGGAGGCGUUACCCGCAGAAGAAGCACCGGCUAACUCCGUGCCAGCAGCCGCGGUAAUAC